rnacentral:rRNA from 1 species
AGUGAACGCUGGCGGCAGGCCUAAUACAUGCAAGUCGAGCGGCCGCACGGGAAGAUCUUGCUCUUACCGUUGGCGAGGGGCGGGCGGGUGAGGAAUGGAUCGCCAUCUUCUUUGACUGGGGGGACUUCGUAGGACAGCUGCUGAUAAUAGCGAAUAUGACCUACGGCUUGGUGCAGUGGUUCUUGACGGUUUUCCUGUCUGUUAGAGCCGAUGUCGGAUUAGCUUGUUGGCGUGGUAAAGGCCCACCAAGGCGACGAUCCGUAGCGGAUCUGAGAGGAUGAUCAGCCACACUGGAACUGAGACACGGUCCAGACUCCUACGGGAGGCAGCAGUGGGGAAUCUUGGACAAUGGGCGCAAGCCUGAUGCAGCCAUACCGCGUGAGUGAAGAAGGUCUUCGGGUCGUAAAACUCUUUUGUUAGGAAAGAAAAACAGUGGAUUAAUCCCCCGCCGUCUUGACGGUACCUAAAGAGUAAGCACCGGCUAACUUCGUG